AUGCCCAACCUGCCAUUUGUUUAUGCUGGCGACUUCAUCAAAGUGCUAUGGCAAAAGCAUGCUUCCAAAAGCUAUUCCAAUAUGAUCAUAUAUGUUGAAGCAUGUGAAUGUGGCAGUAUCUUUGAGGGAUUAAUGCCACAAGAUCUUAAUAUUUAUGUUACAACAGCAGCAAAUGCGGAAGAAAGUAGCUGGGGAGCAUACUGCCCUGGGAUGGAAACACCACCUCCUGAAUAUAUGACCUGCUUGGAUGACGCAUACAAUGUUUCUUGGAUGGAAGACAGUGAAACUCACAAUCUACAGAAGGAAACCAUCAAGCAGCAGUACGAGGUGGUUAAAGCAAGAACGGCACCCCCAAAUGACUCCAAUAUCGGUUCUCAUGUCAGGGAGUAUGGUGACAAGACAUUCAAGGAUGACAAGCUUUUCCUUUAUCAAGGUUUCUAUCCUGCGAAGUCAAGCAUCACAAACAGGCCGCUGCUUUCGCCCAGCCUCAAGGGUGCAAUCAAUCAAAGAGAUGUUGAUAUUCUUUUCAUGUGGAAGAAGUAUGAGCAGUUAAAUGUUGGAUCAGAGGAGAAGCAGAGGGCUCUCAGGGAGUUCAAAGAAACUGUGUUACACAGGAAGCAUCUCGACAGCAGUAUCGAUUUCAUCGGGAAGCUUGUCUUUGGAUUUGAGGGGCCUUCGGUGCUUGAGGCUACUAAAGGCCCUGGCCAGCCAUUAGUAGACUAUUGGGAUUGUCUGAAGACGAUGGUGCGAGUUUUCGAGUCCCAGUGCGGAUCACUCACUCAGUAUGGCACGAAACACAUGAGGGCUUUCACAAACAUCUGCAACAAUGGCGUCUCCGAGACCGAGAUGAAGGAGAAAAGCAUCAGCGCUUGCGACAGCUACAACAUGGGUAAGUGGAGCUCGCUGGUUCUAGGGCACAGCGUCUGGUCGGCUGCACUACAGUAG
rnacentral:rRNA from 1 species